rnacentral:rRNA from 1 species
AUUGAACGCUGGCGGCAGGCUUAACACAUGCAAGUCGAGCGGAGCGAGGGUGCUUGCACCUUAGCUUAGCGGCGGACGGGUGAGUAAUGCUUAGGAAUCUGCCUAUUAGUGGGGGACAACAUUCCGAAAGGGAUGCUAAUACCGCAUACGCCCUACGGGGGAAAGCAGGGGAUCUUCGGACCUUGCGCUAAUAGAUGAACCUAAGUCGGAUUAGCUAGUUGGUGGGGUAAAGGCCUACCAAGGCGACGAUCUGUAGCGGGUCUGAGAGGAUGAUCCGCCACACUGGGACUGAGACACGGCCCAGACUCCUACGGGAGGCAGCAGUGGGGAAUAUUGGACAAUGGGCGGAAGCCUGAUCCAGCCAUGCCGCGUGUGUGAAGAAGGCCUUUUGGUUGUAAAGCGCUUUAAGCGAGGAGGAGGCUACUAGUAUUAAUACUACUGGAUAGUGGACGUUACUCGCAGAAUAAGCACCGGCUAACUCUGUGCCAGCAGCCGCUGUAAGAC